AAUUAAUUUUUAUUCAAUUUCACCUAAUUGAGAGAUUUUUCAGCCAAUUAGUCGUUUUGAAGUGAUCGAAUUUCCUUUAGAUUUGAUUAACUAAGAAAAUCUGAACUUAUUUUAUUGCAAUGAGAUGAACAAUAACUGAGAAUCAACAACGAUCAAUGAACCAACUAUUCAACAAGUACUUAAUUGCUCUUUGUGUCCUUUGUAUCAAUUUGUAAUCUAGUCAAGUUAAUUAACAACGUGAAUUUUGCUUAAUAGUGUCAUUUGUUAUUCCUAAUGGUUAGUUCUAAACUCCUUGAUAGUUGUGAUGGUUCCUUUAAUGUCUUUCUACCGAGAGUUACCUCAUUAUCGAUGAUCAAUAGUAACGGUGUUUUGUUUACUCAAAAUGUUUCCAAGUUAACUAAUCACUUUUGGAGACACUAUGAUCUCCGUUCUUAUGAAACAUCAACUCAGGGUAAACCGAACGAACCCAAUUUGGCCUCCGUUAAACACAUAACCAUUCAAACCUGUGGAUCUUUGUACCAGAAUUGGAGAGAGACCAGAAAAGGUUAUGCUGGUGCACCGAAACAAGGAUUAACUUUUAAUGUUGAAUAUGUUGAUACUAAAGAUUUUACUAAUAAUGAUGAAGCUCCGGUUGUUCUUGCUCUUCAUGGAGCUCCAGGUUCACAUAAGGAUUACGAAUCGAUGAUUAAGCACUUAACACUUAAAGGAGUUCGUAUGAUUGUACCAAACUUUCCAGAAUAUGAUGUUAUCCAUUCUACUAAAUAUUUUCGACACUCAACCCAUGAGAGAAAAUCGUAUAUUUUGGACUUUCUUAAAGCGAUCAAAGUUGAUAAAUUAGAUAUGCUGAUAACUCAUAGUAGCGGCAUUUAUCCAGGUCUCGAUAUUUAUGCCAAUGAAGGUUUUCCAAUGAAAUCAAUAGUUCUGAUAAGUCCAGGGGGACAUCGACGUACUCGGGCCAUUAAGCCUUCGUGGUUUGCCGAUAAUAUCGCUCGAAUUGGGCUCAAUCCGGUUGGUAGAAAGAUUUUCAAUAAAUUUGGUAAAUAUAUUCUGAAAUUCGGUCGUUCACCAAUGCGUCUCGAUAAUCUCGAUGGUGUUUUGUUCAGCGCAGUUAUCAUGUUUUUUGCAGAAUUUGAAAGAUUAGAGGGAAAUUUACUAAUUGUUGAGAAAAAAAGACCAAAAUUAUUAUUGAUAUUCGGCGACAAAGAUAGAGUCAUAGAGAAAGAAUGUUUCUAUGAAAUGGCCUCGAUUCUUGGUGCUAAUCAAUCACAUUAUUCCAAAUACGAUGCCAAUGGAAAUUGUCUCAUGAAAGGAAAACAAGAUGAUUGGAUUAACGUGAUCGAGUUUAUUGACGGUGGACAUUUUCCAUUCAAACAAUUUCCAACUAUCAUUAACCAAUCCAUCGAAGAGCAAUUAAACAAAAUAAGUCGAUAAACUAGCCACAAAACAGCAAUUUAUCCACUAACAAUUAACCAAAAAAAAAGUUAAUUUAACUUGAUUACCAAACUUUUGAAUUUCCAACCCAAUAGAUGGCUCUGCAUCUCUUAAAUACUUUGCAACAACAAUUAAAUGAAAAAAAAUCAACUACAAUCAAAAUUUUAAUUCACUUUCACCUUUCACCUUAAAAAUCUUCAAAUUGUCCAACUAAAAUGAUUAAACAAACGAAAUUAUGUAAAUGUCAAUAACCACCAGGAAAAAUUAGAAAACCAAUCAAACUAAUCUACUAAUUAAAUGCAACAAAUUCAACUGAUUAAUGAUUCAAAAAAAUGGGUUAUAACUGAAUUGGAAUCCAAUUUACUCCAAGGUUCUCAAGAUGAUUGGAUGAAAAUAAUUCAAUUCCAACGAGGUGGACAUUAUGCAUUUUUGAAAUUCGCAAAUAUUGUUAACCCUGCAAUCGAACAACUUCUCGGUGAUGUUACUUGACAACAGAAACAAAUUAAACUCGAAGUAGAUUCGAUCGGCUGUCAAUCGAAACAAUCAUUGGAAUAUUCUAAUCAAAGUUCAGAGAAACAAGAAGAGCAGGAGAAACUUGUUCGUAAAAUGAGAUUCUAAGAUAUUGUGAUAACUUUUUCUGGAAAACGAUAAUCAAUUAUAUCAAGAAAUUAACUGUUUUUUAAAUGACCAACUUCGAACGAAGUUUUCCAGAAAGCAAGACAAAUGUCCAAAAGAUUGCAAAGUGAUUAAUAUAAACAAAAAAUUAAGCAAUUAAAGUUAAUUUUCUAUCCAA